rnacentral:lncRNA from 1 species
GGGGCACUGCAUACGGUAGAUCUGCUUAACCAUGUACCAAAUGCAUCCGCCUCUUCCCCAACAUCCAUUACUACUGGAACCCACCAAGAACUGAAUUCCAUGGUACUUCUCAGGAUUCUUGAGGUCUGGACUAAGCCCUGGAUUGGGAAAGACGUGUUUAUGAUGCAGACCAGUUGGGGAGAUUUUUCUUGAAGGAGCAGCAGCUUGGGAAUAGCUGACCUGGUGAGAGCAUUCCUCUUCAUCUUGGCUCUGUCUGCUGUAGUUGGGGAGAUGCUCGUCCAGUGGUUGUGUGGAAGGGAGAAGAGGAUCAGGAAGACACAAUCCAGACUCUCCCAGACUCAGACAUCUGCGGCCUACUGGACACGUUCCCUUGGAACUGAUGCCCCAGUGAUUCUGCUGCCUCUGCCAGAGUCAGAAAACUGUGGAUGUGGGAAGCUGCCCGUGGAGUCAGGAAGUCAUCCCUACUGAUGGAGCCUCUGCAGCCACCUUGGUCCUGGUCCACACCAGCAAUGUUGAUGCUGCCCUGCAGCCUGCCUAUCCCCUGGCUUAAUUCCGGCUCCAUGCAUGUGACGAGCAGAAAAAAGAAAGUCGCAUCUGGACCUCCGGCGGCAAGGGAGUCUGAGAAAGAUAGAUCUGUGCAUGGUCAUCUUAACCCUCCUGUAUCCUUAAAGCCCAGCACCAGGUCAAGUAUGCAGUGGGCACUCAGUAGUUGCAUGUUAAGUGAAUCGAUGAUUCUAGAAAAGAAAAUUUUGUUUACUGGCUCUUCACCUUUAGCAGGAAGUAAAUUCUCAACGGGGCUUUGGCUCGGAAAGAAUAUGGACCUGAAUGCUUUUCUCUUCCCCUCUCCUGUCCCUCCCUCCUCACUUCUCCUUUCUCCUCUUCUCCUCUCCUCUUCUCUCCCUUCCUCUGUCCCUUUUUGUCCCUUUCCUCCUCCCUCCCUCCUUUCCCUCUCCCUCUGUGUCAGCUUCCACCACCAGGAAACCAGCUUCUCCUGAGAACACACAGGGGGACCCUUCAAACUCAGUGUACAACACAGCCUCUUGAAUUCUGUGCAUUGCCUCUUUUAAUUAAACCCCUCCUUUCAGGAAGUCUCUCAAGGCUAUAAGCUUAUCAGAUCCUGAUGAGCACGUCAUCAAAGCUCCAAUCUGGUAUUAAUGGGAAAUGGCCUUUCCCUUCAGGGAGGGCCAAGCUUCUGUCCUUGGGAACCACUGCAUUCUCCUUGCUGGGAGGACACGUGGAUUUCCCCUCAGUGCUCUCUAGGGUGCUGCAAGCUGGCAAAGUUCACCUGCCCUUUUCAAAAUAUGAAAUACAUGCCUAAUUUCCAACAUCAUUGUGUUCCAUUUUCCCUGAUAACACCUUAACAGGGGCUUUAAUAACUGCAUUCUGUGGAAAGAGACACUGGCGCUGUGCUGUUGGCUCUAGGUUGUGAGCUGGGGCCCUGGCUGUGAGCCCUUGGAGGAAUCCCUUUACCUCUCUAUUCCAGGUUAUUCAUGUUUAAAAUGAAGUUCCUUAACUGCUCUCAGUUCUUCCCAGAAUUCAUGUAAUGAGUUCUAAGUGUCAGUUCUGCUAGGUCUAGGGAGAGGGAUGAAGCCUCUACAUGAGCCAGCCUGUGUUGGUUGGGGCAGAGCCUAGAGAUCCCUGGUUCAGUGAGGCUCCUGCACUAGGGAAGGGACCUCUGAGCUCCUCUUCUCGUGCCAAGCCCAUCUCCGCUCAUCCCAUGCUGACUGCAAGAAUGGUGUUUGCUCAAUGGUCAGGGAAGUGGUGCCCAAGAGCAGGAACCUGGCUUCACUCUGUCUCUCCUCUGGGCAUCAAAGAGGCAGUACCUGCUAGGACCGUCUCUUCCUUUCUAAAAUCAGGAAGUAACAAAAGGCAGGCUGGGAUUGCCCAUAGAUACAGCUCCGUCUUUCUCUCUCUCUCCUGAAACAGCCUGCAGACAUUCCUGAGUUCUUGUGCUGAGAUUAGGUUCAUUGUCAAACCCAAACCCAUUUGUUUUAAAGCCAGUUGUGCAAAAAUAUAUUAAAAAGCAAACAUGCGCAAACCAGAAGCCAGGGUCGGGGUUAUUGAGUGUAGCUUCGAUAUUAAUAACAUGAAAUAGAGUUCCCAGUCUCCCAAUUUCCCAUCUGAAUGGAGCUCUUUCAAAGCCCAGGAAGGCAGAUGGGAUGCACAGGGCAGGAUGGGCCCCUUCCAGGGUUUCUCAGUCCAAUGCCAUCACAGAGGAACUUGAAUGUUAUUUCUGGCAGUGUGGACUGGCUUCACACAGAGAUGAGGUGGCAGACGAUGAGGGACUUCCUGGCCAUAUUAAUGUGUAGAAUGCCUCUAAGCCACACAGGUACAAAGUGAGGGUGGAAACAUUAUUUCUAGCCCUUGGAACUGAUAGAAAAAUACUCCUGACAAAGAAUACAGGGAAUACUGCUGGUGGGACUCAGUAUAAGGUCACUUUGCUGGAAAGUAACAGAGAAUAAAUAAAAUUGAUUGAGUGCCUAUUAUGUGCUUGAAAUCACUUUACAUGCUGGGGCCACAGCAGUUGUCAAAAUUGUUGGAAAUCUCUGCCCUCAUGGAGCUCAGAGUCUAGGGGAUUUUUAAAAAUCACAGGCUGGGCAGAUACUGAAGCUGGCUUUGGGGCCAUUCGGAACUAAAGACUUGAAUUCUAACAAGAUUUCUGUGAUUCAGUUUCUUGCUGUGUCUUGGAGUCAUUUCCUCCAAGCACCUUCUGUCUCUACCUCUGUCAAGAAGAGGACAAAAUAGCCACCAUCCACAUUCUUGUCCCCAGACUGAUGAAGAAGAUGAUAAAAGGGAGGCUUUAGUUGGUAAGCAGAAAGGCACCAUGUAAGUGACAGGCUUACAUCUUGUAUGAAAUCAAGUGGGCAAGAAAGCUUCUGCUCAGGUGGGUACAGCCCCAAGGAGGCUGAUAGGUGAGCACUCUUAGGAACAUGGGCUUGCAGACUUCCCAGUGAAUGCUUCCUUGGGCUGUCAUUUGAACCUAAGAAGAAAGCACAGUUCAAGAAAGAUGAACACAUGUAGCCAACCUGAACUGAAACCAAGAAGGAAAGGAUCAGUCAAAUAGCUGUCUCCUCUGGGCUUGGCUGCCUGUCCUUGGAGAUAAUACUGGCACGUAGCAAGAACUUCCACCUGCAGCAUCCACAGCACAUCUCCAUGGGCCUUAGCAAGAUGCUAUGCAACACGGCUCUUUUCCAGUAUCCUAAUUUUCUGUUCAUAACAUGUUGGGUCUUUGGGAAUCACCAUUAUAAUCAUCAUAAUGUGUUGGGUCUUUGGGAAUUACUGUCAUGAUCAUCAUCAUCACCACCACCACCACCACCAACAUCAGUUUUCCUGGUCUCAUCUUCAUGAUCCUGUUUCAUUUCUUACUACUUCAAACAUUCUUUUUUCCUUCCCUAUGCCUGGAACAUCCUCUGCUCAUUUCUAAUCCCAGAUCUUUGCUUCAGCUGUGGCUCCCUGCACUCCCUGCCUGGGGAAUGCCCCAUGUACCCCCUUUUUCUUGCUAAAAUAUUACACACCUUCAAGACCAUCUCAAGCCCCCCCUUUCAGGAAGCUCUCCUCUAUCUACUCAUGCCCUCCGGUACCUGAGUAUUUGCACAAUAUUAGAACUUAAACAUUCAUCAUUUUAGUCUACAUUCCAGCAACUCUGUAAGGUUGGAAUCAUUUCCUCCAUUUUAUCGAUGAGAUAACAGGUUCAGAGAGGCCGGGUAUUGCCCCAGGAGGAAGGAGCUGGAGCCCCCACAGCUGUGUCUAUUCUACUCUGCCUUGGUGUGCUUGCUUUCCCAGGAGCACACCAGAUGUUGAGAGCAGUAGUUCUCAAACUUCAGGGUGCAUGUACAUUACCAGGGACUGUUUGGCAGACGUUCUGGGGUGGGGAACAAACAUCUGUGUGUGGUUCACCAACGGUCCCUGGUGACUAUGGUUUUAUGGCUGGUCCUGUAGCCAUUUGAGAACCGUUGCCUUCAGAGGUGCACGUAGUCCCAUAACUGAAGAUGUGGCUCCCUGAGGCUCCUGGGAAGCCAACCGCCUCCCCAGACCUACAGAAUGGGAAUGGAAAUCUCCGGGUGUGGGGGUGGGGGCUGGAGGGGGUGGGCCUGGGAAUCUCUAGCUAAGAGCCUCAGGGGUUUUUUAUCAUCUGGCAAGUUUGGGAAAGCUGACUGAGAGUCAGGCCCAUCCAAUUAGCACUUAAUUGUAUCCUGCUUUAUCUUCUUCCCCAAUUAGUUCUUCUGCAUCAGUUAAGCUCCUUGGAGGCCCAGACAACAGCACUUAAUUCAGCAUUGCCCUGAGAGCUGGCAUGGUGCUGGCUAGGUGACUGGCAUUAUGGAAAACUGACUGCAUCUGCUUUAGGAAGAGAGGCAUGUCCAGAGUGGAAAUUCUGGAAGCUCCUUGCAAAACUAAUACCUGGGCUUCUGCACCUCCCCAGCUUGAUGUCUGCUCUUAUCCCUCAUCUCUGCAAAGCCAGGUGCUUCCUCUUGCUUAAAGACCAGCUCAAGGCUCUCUUAUUCCAAGAACUGACUCCAUUACCUCCAGCUAGAUAUAAGCCCAUGGGUCUGUGGAUCCUUCUGAUGUGAAUUUACCUGGAUUUCUGUUUUUCACGGACAGAGGGCUUCAGGAAAGCUCCUGGCCUGACAUGAUGCUAGGCACAUAGUAUUGCUCUUUCCUUCCUACAUCCUCUUCUAGGGAGGGCAUCUUAUCCACCUUGAACAUUCCUACCAUGGAAAACAGUGGCUUGCACAUAGCACAAGGUCAGUUAAUAUUUUGGAUUCCUACAUAAGUCUCAGAGAUGUUAAUAGGAAUUACCAUCUUGUUGCAAUGAAUGUGAGCAAGUAUGUGUUGUGCACAUAAAUUAUCCCACUCCCGCCAAAGGACUAUGUUACUCUUUUUCAAUUACCCAAGCAACUACUCCAGUGCCUUAUGCAUGAUUACCUUCUCUAAGUAUUUUCUUUCUAAAUUAAUACAAUUAUUAACUUCUCAGGGUGUGAACUGUAAAGGGGAAAAUGUGUGCUUCUCUGUUUAAAACAUUAGUAUCUUUAUUUUAAAUCUACUCCAGACUUGCCCAGACUCCUUCACUACUCAGAGUCUCUGAGCAUCGGCUUCCUUAACAUUCAAAAUGGAAAUGAUAAUAAAAACUUUGCACAUCUCUAAAAAUCUCUGAAAAAAAAAAUUUGUCACAUUGAACACAUAAAGCAAGCACUGGAUAAAUUGUAGCUGCAUGGUAUAGUACAGACAACUUGAGACAUAGAUGGAAGGCAGAGCCUAUAUUUUAUUCCUGCCAAACAAAAAUUAAAACAAAGGCAUUAUAAGAACCCAGUGUUGGUGACAUUUGUGAUGGAACAGGCACACUUAUUUUGGAGGCCUGUUUAGCAAUGCUUACCAGGAGUCAUAAAUAUUUUCAUAUACUUUUACCACCGCACAGCAGUUCUAAGAAUUACUACAGGAGAAUGAUUUUUAGAGAGGAACAAGUUAAAUAUAGGCAUCAGUGUAAUUUACAAAGGUGAAAACAAAAAGUAACCUAAAUGCACAUGAAUGGGAGCAAGGUUACAUAAAUUACAGUGCAACAAUGUAAUGGAAUAUCUCACAGCAAUUAAGAAGGCUAAAGACAAAUCCCAGGUAGAAACAUUUAGUGAUUGAAAAUAAUAAGUGUAAUGGUAAAACACAAUUUUAUGUAUACUUUGAUUAAAAUGAUUCAAAAUGAUAUAUUUACUUACAGCCGUGAAGAAAAGAAUAAAGACAUGAACAUGUUUGCUGUGUUAUAUUAGUGAAAUUAAAUUUAUUUUAUACAUGCUAUAUAUGUAUGUAUACAUGCAUGUGCGUAUGUAUGUAUACAUUUAUGUAAAUAUAUAGAUGCAUGAAUACACAUAUGUAUAUGUAAAUAUGUAUAUGUACAUAAAUGUGUAUGUACACUUAUAUAGGUGUAUAUGCAUGUACAUAUGUAUGUGUAUAUGUAUAUGUGUAUAUCUACAUAUGUAUAUGUGUAUAUAUACCUUUAUGUACAUAUAUAAAAAUAUUUUAAUUUUUAUUUUAAAUACUUUAUAUAAAAUUUACACACACAUCUAUAUCUAUAAAAGUAGAUAUAUGUAUAUAUCUGUAUACAGAUAUAUAUGUAUACAUAUAUACAUAUAUACACAUAUAUACAUAUAUACAUAUCUGUAUACAGAUAUAUAUACAUAUAUAUCUGUAUAUAUGUACAUAUAUACAUAUAUACAUAUAUAUGCAUACAUAUAUACAUAUAUGCACAUAUACACAUAUAUGUACAUAUAUGCAUAUAUAUACAUAUAUACAUAUAUACACACACAUAUAUAUAUACAUGUCUACUUUUGAAAAUCUUCCUAAUAGUUCUGCAAGGCAGGUUUUAGUACCUUGAGGAAACAGGUGACAAUAUUUUACUAAAUCACAUAUCUAACAAAAGUUAUCAUAAGCCUUCAAAUGAACCUUGGCCCACCGGCCCCCAAAUCUUUGCUUUUUAAAAUUAUUCACAAAUUGUUUUCCAAUGUGUGUACAUUUGAUGUUGGUUUCUUUUGAUAACUCAUUUCCAAUAAGACCUUAUUUUAUAUUACAACAAUGAAGAUAGAUAAAUAAAUACAUCAAAAUAUUUAUUAUGUGUACUACAUACAUUUUAUAAUUAAAAUGUGCUAGAUUGUUACCUUGUUAGCUCCAAUCAACCACCUCCCAGUAUUCACAGUUUUGUGUAGUCCCAUUUCACAUAGGCACUAGACUUGGCUAUGUGAUGUGAUGUGUUUUGGCCAAUGGGUCAUUGGCAAGCUUGAAAUAAGAACUUCAUAAGUACUUGUGAGUUAAGGUUUGUCCUGUUAGAAGCUAGUCACCAUGCUAUCAAGACACCCAAGCUAGCUGCAUGGAGAUGAUGCAGGAUUUUUCUUGAUCCCUUUGCCAGCUGGGGACCUCCAGCCAGCAAUGACCCUGCCCAGGCCUCACUUGAGCAUGCUACCUGUUGCAGGAGGUGGCCUGCCCACCCAGCCCACCUGGGCUGCACCUGAAUUGUGAACUGGCUUAGCCCGAAGCUGGGCUGGGCAUGCUCUAGCUCACCUGUGUUAUAGCUCAUACCUGUGUUCAGUGGUUCCUGAGUUCUUGUCCCGCGUCCAAGAAGAAUGAGGAUAUGCUGACAAUUGAAGGGUGAGGAGAGCAGAGAAGAAUUUUAUUGAGUGAUGGAACAGCUCUCAGCAGAGAGGGGAUGUGGGGGUAGUCCCCCACCUGAAGUUGGGUGGUUUCUCUUCCAGUGUAGCUGAAUCUGAGGCUUUUAUGGACUCAGAAUAGGGGAGUGCAUGCUGAUUGGUUUGUGAAUAUGCAAAAAUGGUUAAAACAAAGGCACCACUCAAAUGUGGGCAUGACAGUGUAAAUAAACCAAUUAGGGAAGGGUAGGUAUAUGUAAAAUAGGUGAAGGGUGAGGAUCAAUCAGAGGAAAGCAUGCCCAACAGGAAGAUAGAUUCUCAGUCUGGUCUGUGGAUUUGACUUGUAGUUAGGCUUAAACUGUCUUUGGCUUGGAGAUGGGGUUUCACCAGGGACACGCCCCUAUCUGCCUAUGCAUUUGUCUGCCUCCUGCCACUAUCAGAGAGGCCACAGAGAAGAGAAUUGAGGCUUCCCAGAAAAGAGCCCUGAUGAGGUCCCCGCUCACAAUAUGGAGAGAUCGUUUAGGAUUACCAGCCCCUUUGAAGCCUCCAGAAAAUCACAGCUCUGUUAGUAAUUUUUGUGGACUCCAUGCAAAGAAAAGAAUCAUUUAAUGAGCCCAGUCAACCCAUAGAAUCAUGAGAAAUAAUAAAUCUUUGUAGUUUCAAAGCGCUAAGUUUUGGGAUGGUUUGUUAAACAGCAAGAGAUGACCAAUAUAUCAGACCUGAAAAAUUUAAAGCACCAGGAAAAUUUUAAAGUACCAGGAAAAUUUUAAAGUACCAUCCUAGCACAUAGUAGAUGCUUAAUUAAAAUGUCUAUGAAGAAGAAGGGGUCAAUUCUGUCACUUGGCAUUCAGAUUCCCUUUUUGCUCACUAUAGCCUUCCACUUUAAGAAGAGAACCAACAUCCCUGUUGAACUGGAUUCAUCUGCAAACCAGGCCAGCAAUCCUGGCUCAGGCAGGCCUUCCAGGAGGGCAAACUGUAUAGUUCUAUAGCAAAGGGGGCAUUGUCCUUUCUGAAAUGCCAGAUCCUUUAUAAGCUGGAGAGUUACAGUCACUGUUUGGUAAUUGCCCUGCCCCCUGCUAGUGCUUCCAUUCUUGGCUCUUAUAAUAAAGUUCAGUCUCAUGCUCAUUUUUUAUCUUCCUAAAUGGGGCCUGCCAUGGAGCAGCCAUUUGUAUUACGAUCUUAGGCAACCAUGACUGUUCCCAGCCACAGCAUCCCUAAUGCCACUGCCUUAGUUCAGACCCGUAUCAUUUCUCCCCUGGAUAAUUACAACAGCCCCUAACAAGUCUCCUAGCAUUUUGGCAUACACUCCUCUAUUCCAUUCUCUGUAGCAGGCAGUAGGCCAUUUCUAAAGUACAAACUAAAUCAUUUCACCAUGCUUUUUAAAACCUUCCAAUAGGCUCCCCAUUGCCUCAAAGCAAAAUUUCUCAGACUGGAUUAAUGAGUGAGUGUUCCACAGGGUGUGGGCUAGGAAUGAGAAUAUAGUUUAACACAUUUGGGAAACCCUGGGUUAAACAUGGUUAACCAGGUAUUUUUGUGUGUUUGUUACAGGAUUUCUCAGAGCCUUUAAUAUGCUGAUGCAAAUUGUGAAUCUUAUCACAAGAGUGAUAUAAAAUCAACAUUUACCAAACUUGCUUUCUUGGCAGACUAUCUUUGGUUCCACUGAGUUGCAGUUUAGAAUUUUUCAAGUAUUUCCAAGUCCCUUAGUCUGGUAGACAAGUUUCUUCAUAAUCUGACCCCUGCUUAUUUCUUCAGCACAAGUCUCUACAUUUCUCCCAGGUCCUUGCUUCUUGACAAUUUGGUUCCUAUGUACCUGCUUUCCUUUAUCUAAAGUCAACCAUCCUGUUCUUUCAUAGCCCUGGUUAAUUCUUAUUCAUCCUUUGAAUCUCAGGUCAGUCUUCUCUCCUCUGGGAAAUCUUAUCCUAUCCCCACCAUACCUCAUCCCACCCCACCCUCCCUUGGGCUGAGUUAUACAUUCACCCUAUGACAUCCCAUGCUUUUUCCUAUUAUAUUAACUUUCACACAACCUUAGAGUUUCCUGCUUGUCUCUCCUUGUAGAUUGCAUGUUCCUUUGGGCAGGGCUGUCAGCAGGGCACUUAGUGUGCAUUCAGUAAGUGUUUCUUGAGUAAAUGAGUACUGAGAAAUAGAAUGCAUUUUGUGAAAACAGUUGUUGACUAAGAAUUUUCUGAAUGCAGUCACACUGAUAGUAGAUACCUUUUCAGGUGCCAAUCCAUCUAUGGUGUAAACAUGUCUCUUAUACUGACCAUACUCUACAGGUGUUCUCUGUGAUACUAUCUCCUGGGACCAUUUAAAUUCACAUGAAGAAAACUGAGCCGACCUGACUCAUUCUCUGAGGAUUCGAACUUAGGAAUUGUUAGAAGUUUAUUCAAACUGCAGAAUCAUAAACUGCAGAGCUCUGGUGGCCGUUUUGUGUAUGAGUAAAUGGGAGCGAUGGAAGCAGUUCUGUAGAAAGAGAGGGAGAGAAGUGAAGGGCAUUGGGCUACAGAUGUUCCUCGAUGUCCCAAUAAACCCAUCAUAGAGUUGCAUGAUGUUGAAAAUAUUCUAAGUCACAAAUACAUUUAAUACACCUAACCUACUGAACAUCAUAACUUAGCGUGCCUUCAGUGUGCUCAGAACACUUAGAUUAGCUUACAUUUGGGCAAAAUCAUCUAUUUAACACAAAGCCUAUUUUAUAAUAAAAUAUUGAAUAGCUCAUGUAAUUUAUUGAAAACUAUACUAAAAGUGAAAAACAGAAUGGUUGCAUGGGUACCUGAAAUAUGGUUUCUACCAAAUGUGUAUUGCCUUUGCAACCAUCUUAAGUCAAACCAUCAUAAGCUGGGAACUGUCUGUAUUUAGAAAAAAGCAAAGAUGGAGAGGUAUUCCUAACCCCCUGGGUUCCUAAUUUCUCACAGAUUUCUCAUUUCAGCACUAGCUGAGGUCUGGCUAUCAGCCUGUCACAGAGUUAGGAGUAUGUCAUCACAGUGAUUUUUCUUUCCCCUCCUCCAGCCUAUUUGAAGGAGGCCCUGUUAUGUGUUACCAAUAGGGUCUUUACUAAGCAAUGUCUAGUUUUUUUCCUUGAAAAACUUGAAAUGUGAAUGGCUCUCUCAACAUGCUUCUCUUUGUAACAGCCACAUUGUGAAUAUUAAUGGCAGUACUUAAGCAGGUCGAUUGUGCACUGAGAAUAUGAAAUAUGCAUGUCACUUAAAAACAAAUGAUUGUCCAUACAGUGCUUGGGCUGAAUUAUUCUCCCUCAGGUUGUCACACCUGAUGCAGAGGGAAGCUAAGGCAAUGCAUCUGUGCCAGACUUUAUAGAUCCCAAGGUCAGGAUCAAAAUGUGCAGAUUCAGGAAGAUGCUUUUUCACUAAUGAUUUGUUACCGUUAACUUGACGCACUGGGUGGAUUUAUAUAGAGAAAAAUGUUAAUAAAAUGUUCUUCGAGCUACAUUUCUGCUUUGCUGAGUUGUCAUUCCAUUAAGCAAAUUUGAGGCAAUGUAAUUGCUAUAAGAUUCUACAUAUUUGCAAAUGAAUUUGUGAGUUUAUUUGGGAAAUGAAUGGGUUUUAACUUGGCUUGUUGGACUAAUUUUAUUUUGCUGUUUCCAGGAGAUGUCCUAGCGAG